rnacentral:rRNA from 1 species
UACAGAGGGGGCAAGCGUUGUUCGGAAUUACUGGGCGUAAAGGGCGCGUAGGCGGCCUGUUAAGUCAGACGUGAAAUCCCUCGGCUCAACCGGGGAACUGCGUCUGAUACUGGCGGGCUUGAAUUCGGGAGAGGGAUGUGGAAUUCCAGGUAUAGCGGUGAAAUGCGCAGAUAUCAGGAGGAACACCAAUGGCGAAGGCAGCUCGCUGGGACGGUACUGACGCUGAGACGCGAAGGCGUGGGGAGCAAACGGG